CUACGGGUUGCUGCAGUGAGGAAUAUUGCACAAUGGGGGGAACCCUGAUGCAGCAACGCCGCGUGGAGGAUGACGCAUUUCGGUGUGUAAACUCCUUUUAUAUGUCAAGAAAAUGACGGUAGCAUAUGAAUAAGCACCGGCUAACUCCGUGCCAGCAGCCGCGGUAAUACGGAGGGUGCAAGCGUUACUCGGAAUCACUGGGCGUAAAGGACGCGUAGGCGGGUUGGAAAGUCAGGUGUGAAAUCCUACAGCUUAACUGUAGAACUGCACUUGAAACUUCUAAUCUAGAGUAUGGGAGGGGGAGAUGGAAUUAGUGGUGUAGGGGUAAAAUCCGUAGAUAUCACUAGGAAUACCUAAAGCGAAGGCGAUCUCCUGGAACAUUACUGACGCUAAGGCGUGAAAGCGUGGGGAGCAAACAGGAUUAGAUACCCGCGAGUC
rnacentral:rRNA from 1 species